rnacentral:rRNA from 1 species
ACGGAAGGCAGCAGUGGGGAAUAUUGCACAAUGGGGGAAACCCUGAUGCAGCGACGCCGCGUGAGUGAAGAAGUAUUUCGGUAUGUAAAGCUCUAUCAGCAGGGAAGAAAAUGACGGUACCUGACUAAGGAGCCCCGGCUAACUACGUGCCAGCAGCCGCGGUAAUACGUAGGGGGCAAGCGUUAUCCGGAUUUACUGGGUGUAAAGGGAGCGUAGACGGUUCUGCAAGUCUGAUGUGAAAGGCAGGGGCUCAACUCCUGGACUGCAUUGGAAACUGUAGAACUAGAGUGCCGGAGAGGUAAGCGGAAUUCCUAGUGUAGCGGUGAAAUGCGUAGAUAUUAGGAGGAACACCAGUGGCGAAGGCGGCUUACUGGACGGUAACUGACGUUGAGGCUCGAAAGCGUGGGGAGCAAACAGGAUUAGAUACCCUGGUA